rnacentral:sRNA from 2 species
CUACACAUGUGUUUAGGCUUGAUAUUUGAUUUGGCAUUAAAACCGCACAGCCUCCAUUCAUUUGAGCCCCGGUAUGGAGAUUUUCAUUUAUGUUUUUAUCAUGCGUAAGGUGUCAACAAGCACUUAUUUUUUUCACUUUCUAACCGGCUUAUUAAGAACUCUAUUAAUUGCAGUGAAUAAACGUUGAAUAGUUAGUUAGUUAACUAUAUGGCAAGUCAUUUACAGAUUCUUAGUAAUUGAAUAAGUAAACACCAAAGUGACAGUUAACUAACUAUUGAUCAAAUGACCAAAAUGUUAAAGAGAAAUUUGUCGCAAUGCUAGAUGUGUAAGUAAAUCACUUUUAAAAAGAAAUAUUUUUAGCUGUUUAUCCAUUUAACUUCACUGUUAUGUUAAGGGGUUUAUUGAGUUCUUUUAGAUGAUAAAUUUAAUGGGGAAAUAUGUGUGAGAUUCACAUAAUCAGUUUAACUAACUAGUUAAUCAGUUAGUUAUCAGCAUUUUUUAUGUAAUAGUUAUGUUCGAUAUGUAAGGAGUUAAAACGAGUUAUGGUAAACAUUCUUUGGUCAUUGGUGCGGGGAUCAGAGUUCUAACUACAAAGUUCUCCGUAGCAAUAAUCUGGCAACAACUUGAGAACACACCGCUAAACCCCAAAUGGACGAGAGAUACAAGAGCUGCAUGCCCGGAGCAUCCCCACUCAAUAACCCGUGGAGGGAGAUUCUCAGGAAAAACCAGCUAUCCAGCGCAUUGGGGUAUUAUAGGCAAUCCUCCGGCCCCCUGCUACUGCAGCGGCAAAAACCGUAGUCUGUAGACCAAUGCAAUACCACCACGC